AUGGUUGUGCAGCCUGGACAGUCUCUGACCCUCACCUGUCAGGUCUCUGGUUACUCUCUGACUGAUAGCAGCUAUGCAACAGGUGUCAAAGCUCAGACUCUGACAGAAUCUGAACCAGUGGUUAAAAGGCCUGGAGAAUCCCACAGACUGACCUGUUCAGCCUCUGGAUUCACAUUCAGCAGCUACCGUAUGAACUGGGUCAGACAGGCUCCUGGAAAAGGACUGGAGUGGAUUGCUUUCAUUCACACAGGCAGUUCUCAUAUCUAUUACUCCUCGUCAGUCCGGGGCAGAUUCACCAUCUCCAGAGAUGACUCCAGCAGUAAACUCUAUCUUCAGAUGAACAGUCUGCAGACUGCAGACACUGCAGUGUAUUACUGUGCCAGAGAGACACAGUGA